CAGCAGCCGCGGUAAAACGUAGGGUGCAAGCGUUAAUCGGAAUUACUGGGCGCAAAGCGUGCGCAGGCGGUUCGCUAAGACAGAUGUGAAAUCCCCGGGCUUAACCUGGGAACUGCAUUUGUGACUGGCGGGCUAGAGUAUGGCAGAGGGGGGUAGAAUUCCACGUGUAGCAGUGAAAUGCGUAGAGAUGUGGAGGAAUACCGAUGGCGAAGGCAGCCCCCUGGGCCAAUACUGACGCUCAUGCACGAAAGCGUGGGGAGCAAACAGGAUUAGAUACCCGUGUAGUCCCUGUCUCUUAUAC
rnacentral:rRNA from 1 species